UACGUAGAAGGCGAGCGUUAUCCGGAUUUAUUGGGCAUAAAGAGGGCGUAGGCGGUUUUUCAAGUCGGAUGUAAAAUUUCCCGGCUCAACUGGGAGAGAUCAUUCGAUACUGUUGGGCUAGAGUGCAGCAGAGGGAGGUGGAAUUCCCGGUGUAGUGGUGAAAUGCGUAGAUAUCGGGAGGAACACCAGUGGCGAAGGCGGCCUCCUAGGCUGUUACUGACGCUGAGGCCCGAAGGCGUGGGGAGCGAACAGGAUUAGAUACCCCCGUA
rnacentral:rRNA from 1 species